rnacentral:piRNA from 1 species
UGAGCUUAUCCGAGAGGACAUAUUGAGUGGU